GGGAAUCCGGUGCAAAUCCGGGACGGUCGCGCCACUGUGAGCGCCCCCUGCGGGCGCGAGUCAGACC
rnacentral:ncRNA from 1 species